AUGAGCGUCCUUCAUCUGCUCCUUUUCUUGCUUCUUCAUGUCCUUCCCCUCGCAUCUCCGGCCGUCGACGUCGACCAGUUCACGUUCGAUGGCUUUGCCGGCGCGAACUUCUCGCUCGACGGCACGGCCACGGUCACCCCGGACGGCCUCCUCAUGCUCACCAACGGCACGACUCAGCUAAAAGGACACGCCUUCUACCCUCUCCCCGUGCGGUUCCACAAGGCCGCCAACGGCAACGCCUCCUCGCGCUCCUUCUCGACAGCCUUCGUGUUCGGCAUCGUCAGCGAGUACGACGACUUCAGCAGCCCCGGCCUGGCCUUCGUCGUCUCCAAGAGCAAAAACUUCUCCACGGCGCUCCAGAGCCAGUACAUGGGCCUGGCCAACGCGGCCAACAACGGCAACUCCAGCAACCACUUCCUGGCCGUCGAGCUCGACACCAUCGUCAACGCCGAGUUCGGGGACAUGAGCAACAACCACGUCGGGGUCGACGUCGACGGCCUCUCAUCCAUCGUCGCCGACAACGCGGGGUACUACGAGGACGGCACAGGCGCGUUCAUGAACAUGAGCCUGUUGAACCGCACGGCUACGCAGGUGUGGGUGGACUUCGACGCGCGCACCUCUCUCGUCAGCGUCACCAUGGCACCCCUUGAGCUGCCCAAGCCCAAGAAGCCUCUGCUCUCCGCCACCGUGAACCUCUCGUCGGUGAUCCAGGACAAAGCCUACGUUGGCUUCUCGUCAUCCACCGGCGUCGUGUCGAGCCGCCACUACGUGCUUGCCUGGAGCUUCAAGAUGGACGGUGGACAAGCCCCGCCGCUAAACAUACAGAAGCUGCCGGCCCUGCCGUUCACGACCCCCAAGCGCCGGUCGAAGACGCUGUAUAUCGUGUUGCCGAUAGCAUCGGCAGCGUUGGUGUUAGCACUGGCCAUCGCUGUCGUCCUGAUUGAGCGGAGGCGGCGCAGGUAUGCGGAAGUAAAAGAGGAGUGGGAGACGGAGUUCGGUCCGCACCGUUUCUCAUACAAGGAUUUGUUCCACGCCACCAAGGGGUUCUCCGACGAGCGGCUGCUUGGCAUCGGCGGAUUCGGGAGGGUGUACAAGGGCGUGCUUCCGACGUCCGGGGCGGAGAUUGCAGUGAAGAAGGUGUCGCACGAAUCGAGGCAAGGAAUGAAGGAGUUCAUCUCUGAGGUGGUGAGCAUCGGCCAGAUCCGGCACCGGAACCUCGUCCGGUUGCUCGGAUACUGCCGGCGGAAGCGCGAGCUCCUGCUAGUCUACGACUACAUGCCAAAUGGCAGUCUCGACAAGCUUCUGCACGACCACAACACGAUGGUCUUGAGCUGGAGCCAGAGGUUGGGGAUCAUCAACGACGUUGCUUCCAGCAUACUGUACCUCCACGAGGACUGGGAGAAGGUGGUUCUGCAUCGCGACGUCAAGGCGAGCAACGUGCUUCUGGACGCCGACAUGAACGGGCGGCUAGGCGACUUCGGCCUCGCGAGGCUGUACGAUCACGGCACCGACCCGCACACCACGCACGUGGUCGGCACCAUGGGCUACCUGGCCCCGGAACUCGGGCACACCGGCAGGGCCUCCAAGGCGUCCGACAUCUUCGCCUUCGGCGUGUUCAUGCUGGAGGUCGCGUGCGGGCGGCGGCCCGUCUCCCAGGACGAGCACGACGGCCACCUCCUGCUGGCGGACAGGGUGAUCGAGCACUGGCGCGAAGGAGCGAUCACCGACGCCGUGGACCCGCGACUCCGAGGCGACUUCCCUGCCGAAGAAGCGAGCUUCGUUCUGAAGCUGUGCUUGCUGUGCUCACACCCUCUGCCCAGCGCACGCCCGGGCAUUCGGCAGAUCAUGCAGUUCCUGAGCGGUGACACGCGGCUCCCGGAGGUGUCGGUAGAGCACGUAAGUGUCGACGUGCUAGCGCUCAGGCAAAACCAGGUGGUUCCCUCGCACUCUUCUUUGCCGUCCACGGAAGCCGGUAAUAUUUCUGAUAUUCCUGCAGCGAGGUAG
rnacentral:rRNA from 1 species